rnacentral:rRNA from 1 species
AAAAACUAAGGUGGUAUAUGAUGGAUCCGCGUCUGAUUAGCCAGUUGGUGAGGUAACGGCUCACCAAAGCGACGAUCAGUAGCCGGCCUGAGAGGGCGGACGGCCACAUUGGGACUGAGACACGGCCCAGACUCCUGCGGGAGGCAGCAGUGGGGGAUAUUGCACAAUGGGGGAAACCCUGAUGCAGCGACGCCGCGUGAGUGAAGAAGUAAUUCGUUACGUAAAGCUCUAUCAGCAGGGAAGAAAAUGACGGUACCUGACUAAGAAGCCCCGGCUAACUACGUGCCAGCAGCCGCGGUAAUACGUAGGGGGCAAGCGUUAUCCGGAAUUACUGGGUGUAAAGGGAGCGCAGACGGCAGUGCAAGUCUGGAGUGAAAGCCCGUGGCUUAACCACGGGACUGCUCUGGAAACUGUGCAGCUAGAGUGCAGGAGAGGCAGGCGGAAUUCCUAGUGUAGCGGUGAAAUGCGUAGAUAUUAGGAGGAACACCGGUGGCGAAGGCGGCCUGCUGGACUGUAACUGACGUUGAGGCUCGAAAGCGUGGGGAGCAAACAGGAUUAGAUACCCUGGUAGUCCACGCCGUAAACGAUGAUUACUAGGUGUCGGGGGACGAUAGUCGACCG